UGAUGUGAGGGCAACCUGUCUUUGACAACCAUCACCCCACUGAUCACCAGGGUUGAUUGGGCUGAUCUGGCUGGCUGGGCGGUGGUCCCUUCCUCCAUCAAGGCUCCAUGUGCAUCCUGUCCCAAUGUUACACACUCUGUCCAAGAGGAUGACCACCCCCCAAUAAAGAAGGACUGUUCUUUGGUCAAGGAUAUACAAGUAACUCUCCCCUGCUAGAACUUCCAAAUAAGCUCAAGAGGUCAGGCUUCUUUCCUCUCUCUUCAAAUCAUCAUAGGCAGGUAUAUGGCAACUUUGAUCAAGAGUAUAACAUAAGAAUUAAUUGUUAUUCUCUUU
ensembl:misc_RNA 7SK 7SK RNA